CCUGGUAGAAGUUCUAAAUUAUAGAACAAGUUAGAACUAACUGGUGGUGAUGGAAGGGAGGAAAUCACAAGGGAAACUUGAAAACAGAGUUGAAUAUGUACCUAUUAAGUGGUUGUCAGAUCCUUUUCUGAAAAUGGAUAGUUAAUGAUACCACCACUAUCAGGAUGAACAGCAAUUUCCCACUGAUGAAUCGCACCACCACCACCUCUACCACCAUCAUCACCGUCAACUUUCCCUGAGGCUUUUCUACUCUUUCCUCAUCCCCAAUUUCUUUC
rnacentral:lncRNA from 1 species